GAUGAACGCUGGCGGCGUGCCUAAUACAUGCAAGUCGAGCGAACGGGCGAGAAGCUUGCUUCUCUGAUGUUAGCGGCGGACGGGUGAGUAACACGUGGAUAACCUACCUAUAAGACUGGGAUAACUUCGGGAAACCGGAGCUAAUACCGGAUGAUAUUUUGAACCGCAUGGUUCAAAAGUGAAAGACGGUCUUGCUGUCACUUAUAGAUGGAUCCGCGCUGCAUUAGCUAGUUGGUAAGGUAACGGCUUACCAAGGCAACGAUGCAUAGCCGACCUGAGAGGGUGAUAGGCCACACUGGAACUGAGACACGGUCCAGACUCCUACGGGAGGCAGCAGUAGGGAAUCUUCCGCAAUGGGCGAAAGCCUGACGGAGCAACGCCGCGUGAGUGAUGAAGGUCUUCGGAUCGUAAAACUCUGUUAUUAGGGAAGAACAUAUGUGUAAGUAACUGUGCACAUCUUGACGGUACCUAAUCAGAAAGCCACGGCUAACUACGUG
rnacentral:rRNA from 1 species